rnacentral:lncRNA from 1 species
UCAAUCACUAUUGCUUAGAAUUAUGGAGUUUGUAGCACUUCGUUUGAACAAAAGAAGAAAGAAUGAAUAAGUCUUGUCCUUUUAAUUCCAAUAAUACCUCUCUCCUCAUAAAAAUAAUCUUAUUUGUGUCUCUAGAAUGUCCUAGUAACUAGUGUAUUGCUAUGACACAAAGUGCUUGAGUUAGAGGCUAUUAUUGUAUGGGCUAUAGUUCAAAACCAUCGUUGUCAAGUGAUUCACACAGAGCUUGUCACAGUACUUAAGACAGCUUCCAUAAGUAGGCUGUUACCUUAGUUGGGCGAUAAAAAUGCAAAACAAAAAAACGAAAAACAAAACGUGGACAAUGCAGGAGAUACUGUGCACCUCUUACUAAUUUAGGCUAAUUUCCAUAUCCUCUGGGUGGCUUUGCCUGUUGUUUGGGAUUUUCGACUCUAGAUGGCGGUAAAGGGUGCACAAUCACGAGCUGAGGUCAGGUUGGUUUUGAGCCAGGGCUCUCUAAGGCUGAUUAGUGACAGCCUCAAUUUCAGGGCUGUUUUCAAUUUCAUGUGUUACAUAAAACAAAGGUUAAUUAGUCAUACUGCUCAUUUUGAGAAGUAGAAAUUUGCCUAUAAAUAGUAUGCUAUUCCGUGCACUAAGUCGUGUGAUGCCUGUUGCUUUUAGUGUUUGACAAAUUAAGGAAAUAUCUUGAAAUGCCUGGAUAAGGUGGACUUGGACAUAGAACCCAGGCAAGACUGCUUUUAUUGUUCCCAUGGCAACAUCUUCAAGCCUUUUAUGCUUAAUAUUUUCACUAAUGUCUGCUUUUUGGUAGACUCUGAAGAUAGUGAAGGUGUUGCUCAUAAAAUAGGAAGAUAGCUAGUAUUUUUCCUGAUUAUAUCUUUUGAUACACCCUCCAUCCAUAUGCACUGUCAAGACCUCUUUUCCUAGGCAAUAUCAUUUGAAAGCAGGAUGAUGCGAACUUAGCUUGAUUAUCUCUAACAUUUUCUAUCUUUUAUAUUUUUAUUUCCCAGUAUUAAAGUGGGAAUGGGAGCUUCUUUUUUCCCUUCAGAUUUAUGCACCAUCUGUAUUUUAAAAUAAUUAUGGCUGUCCCUAAAGUAGCAAGUGUUUCCUAGCUGCCCUGCUACAUCCUGUCUUCUAGCAGUUUAUGACUGCUAACGUUAAUCUUUUUCCUUGCCACCUCUCUCUCCUUUCCCUUUCUCCCUCCUUCCUUCGCUUCCUUUUCCCUUCUCUCCCUUCUUAGGUCUUUCUUUCCCUCUCUGCCUUCCUUCCUUCCCUUCUCUUUUUCUUUUUUCCUUCCUCUUUUUCUUCCUCUCUUCCUUUUUUCUUUUGGCCUUCCUAACCUCUCUGUGUCUCUUUCUUUUUCUUCUCUUUCUUUCAUCUCCUGCCCUCUCUCCCCUCCUUUCUUGCCUCCUUCCUUCUUUCCUUCUUUCUCACUUUCUUCCUUCACUCCUUUGUUCCAGUGUCUUGAAAAGAGUGUAGACUUGGAGAUUGGUCUUGAGCUGAAUUCUACUGAAGCCUCAUAUAUGUUGAGUAUCCUUGGAAAAGUAACCUAACUUCUUUAAAUAUUAUUUUUCUCUUCUAAAAAUGGGCUAAUAACACUUUCUCCAUAUUAUAGUUGAUGGGAGACAAAAGAGUUAAUGUGUGCUAAUCACCUGGCAGAUAGUAUCAUUAACACCUGAGGGAAGUUAAUUUAUCUUUACAGUAGGAGCUGAAUAAAUGGUAUAAAACAGUAUAAACUAUUUUAGUAUAGUUUUCUUUUCAUAGAACCUAUGUAUGCAAUUUAAAUGAAAUUUUACUUACAGUUCCUCAGUGAAAUGAAGUUAUUUCACUCUCAAAUUAAUUCCUGAAUAAUAGCACCUUGGGUCAGAAGUUUAUUGUACUCCGUUGCCACAGUGGUGGGGACAGGGCUGAAUUAGGCAUUAGGAGACCCACUUCUAGUUCUGCCAUGAACCAGCUCUCCCUUUAUUGAAUCUUUUCUUAAGGGGAGGACCUUCACUUUCCGAUGAGAUUUUAAAAGUUAAUUAUAUUAUCUAUCUUUCUUUACAGGACAACUUCUAGAAUUAUUGCUGCAAAGAUCCGGUUAUCCUCACAGGGAGGUCGUUUUUGAUGUCUUGAGGGGAUCCUAUCAGCAGGAGAUACAGAGAGACUCCUACUGACAUCAGCCUUCAUGCACACAUAUGAAAGGAGAAACCAUGUAGCUGAUCCAGCCUGGAGACCAUCGAUGACAGCCUGGAUGAUGGACACAGGUGAGGGGACUCCAUCAAAGAACAGACAAGACUUUGUUGUAGAAAAACAACAACAACAAAAAAAGAGGCUGACAUCCUAUAAUAAAUUUGUGUUUGGCAGAAUCCUAAGGUGGCCCCAAGAUUCCCACCUCUAGGUGUACAUAUUUUGUAUACUCGCUCACCCUCUGUCUUGAGUGUAGGCAGAACUUGUGAAUAUGAAGGAAUGUCACUCCGUGACAUCUUAGGUUAGAUGACAAAGGUUAUCCCCUCAGGGGAUCUUGAUUAUAGCUGCAAAAUCCCCUUUGUCAUCCCCUUUAAAUUAAUCAAAAGGGAAUAUGAGAGUGGUCUGCAGAUAACAAGUAGCAAGAAAAUGAAGACUUCGGUCCUGCAGCUGCAAGGAAACAAAUUCUGCCGACAAACGCGAGAAACUUUGCAGUGAAUCUUUUCCUGGUCAAGCAUCCAGGUUGAGAACUCAGCUCAGCCAAGACCUUGAUUUCAGACUUGUGAGAGCUUGCAUGGAGAACUCAGUGACUGUCUGUAGUUUAGGAGUUAAUUUUCUCACUCUGUGUAUUAACUGAGUCUGCUUGUAAUUUAUUGUUUCUGACUUUUUUAAAAAACUGUAAAUAUUCAUUGACUUUCUAACGGAUUGCCUUUGAUUGAUCGAUUGGUGAUGGAUGCUAAUGGAAUCUGUGACCCAUUCUUUACAAAUUACAGAUUUCAGAAAAGGAGAGAAGCCAAAAACGUUCACUUGAGAGUGUCAUUUGAAGAGGUAAGCCUCCUCAAUUGACAUAUGUGCCCAAACAUUUAGCUGCAUUAUUUUCUGAAGAGCCAGCAGACCAUUCUGGUGACACACUCUUUGCCUUAUUGUUUGCUACAUAAAAACCUGAAUGGAACUAAAUUAUAAACUAGGGCUAUAGAAUAAAUGCAGCAAUGAUGGCUUGAAUGGCUAAAACCUGAGAUGUCACUCUCAAUGAAAGGCAGUGUUUAUUCCACAGCUCAGAGUCACCAAUAGCAUGAGAUACUAAGAAAAUGAAAUAAACCCUAAGUUAGUAAAUUACAAGAAGUCAUUCUCAAAGUCCAUGUCUUGUCUGUCCUUUUGAUCAUAAGGUCAUUAUGAGAUACAAAUACUAACAUAUUUAAAAUUUAAUAAAAAAGAUUUUAAAAUGUAGUUCUCAAGAGUGGUCAGCAACCUUAAAAUUGGGGGCUGCAAACACAUUCCACUGGCAAAGGAUUAUGCAAGAUAAAUUGUUGAACUUUAAAAGACUAAUAAAUUAUAUUGCAGUUAAUUUUAUUAUCUUUUAAUCAACAAUGAAGUGGAUGCACUAUGUUUAAGUUUUUCAAGGAUUUUGAAUAGAAAAUUGUGUUUUCUGGUCAACUCCCAUCACCAAUAUUCUGGACACGAAAUUUGUUCCAUAUAAGAAAGUAGAAGAGAUGGUUCUGCUGUGCAGACACCUUAAAAAAUCCAGAAAUGUGGCAGAGGUGGUGGCCACCACUUGCUCCUCUUUUCUCGAUUUUCUGAGCUGGACUUUUAUUGAAGGAUAUAGGGAAAUUUGAAAAGAAAAUACUGCUUCUAAUCCUGCAGUCAUCUUCUGCUUUGGCUCUUGAGGGUUCGUUAUUCUGGAAGCUGGAAUGACAUUCAGUAGUGUACUCUGAAAAAUGGGAGGAGUUAAUGCGGUUUUUUAAGGUAUGAUUAUGGUCUCCACUUUCCUGUCUAAUUUUCUGUAGGGUAAUUCAACCUGUAUUUCCCCAUCUCUUAAUGAGAAUGAAUAGCUACACAGUCUGUUUCAGGGGCUUUAAUUGUUUCCUAGACAUUGCGGAUCUUUUCUAAUAGUGCUUGUGAUGCUUGAGACAAAGUCCCCAUUCUUGAAUGGUUUCUGCCAAUCCGACUUUGUGAAUAAACUCUAAUGACAAUAUUUUUGAGAAAACCAUCGUAAGAAUGCCAUCAAUGUCUUGGAAGUGAAUUAUAGGCUAUAGGAGAGCCCUGCGGGGAGGGAGGGAGCAGGGAGCCUGCAGCAGUACUGACCAAAUCUUUCAUGUUCCUAACUAUGAUGAAACAAAGUUGUUGCUUUUUUUUCAAAUUGCCCUAGUUAAAAGCAGUGAACAAACUACUCAAUCUUCACCCCAUGACAAUUUUCUUGUCUCUGUAUGGAACCAGCGUUCAUUUCCAUCAUCUGGCCUAAUAGUUUGAGGCAUUUUCCUUAGUAACAUGUCUAUUCUCUCCUUUAUCAUUUGCCUUAUGGUGACCAGAGCCUUCUAC